AUUGAACGCUGGCGGCAGGCCUAACACAUGCAAGUCGAACGAGUGGCGGACGGUUGAGUAAUGUCUGGGAAACUGCCUGAUGGAGGGGGAUAACUACUGGAAACGGUAGCUAAUACCGCAUACCAUCGGAUGUGCCCAGAUGGGAUUGGCUAGUAGGUGGGGUAACGCCUCACCUAGGCUACGAUCCCUCGCUGGUCUGAGAGGAUGACCAGCCACACUGGAACUGAGACACGGUCCAGACUCCUACGGGAGGCAGCAGUGGGGAAUAUUGCACAAUGGACGCAAGCCUGAUGCAGCCAUGCCGCGUGUAUGAAGAAGGCCUUCGGGUUGUAAAGUACUUUCAGCGGGGAGGCGUUACCCGCAGAAGAAGCACCGGCUAACUCCGUGCCAGCAGCCGCGGUAAUUC
rnacentral:rRNA from 1 species